rnacentral:rRNA from 1 species
UGCGGUUAAAAAGCUCGUAGUUGGAUUUCUGUUGAGGACGGCCGGUCCGCACUAUGUGCGUGUAUCUGGUUCGGCCUCGGCAUCCUCUUGAGGAACGUUCCUGCGCUUGAUUGCGUGGAGCGGUAUUCAAGACUUUUACUUUGAGGAAAUUAGAGUGUUCACGGCAGGCAAGCGCCUUGAAUACAUUAGCGUGGAAUAAUAAUAUAGGAUCUUGGUUCUAUUUGUUGGUUUCUAGGGCUAAGGUAAUGAUUAAUAGGGAUAAUUGGGGGCAUUUGUAUUAACGCGUCAGAGGUGGAAUUCUUGGAUUGCGUUACGACAAACUACUGCGAAAGCGUUUGCCAAGGAUGUUUUCAUUGGAUCAAGAACGAAAGUAUGGGGAUCGA